rnacentral:rRNA from 1 species
ACGAACGCUGGCGGCGUGCUUAACCCCUGCAAGUCGCACGGAAAGGCCCUGCUUUUGUGGGGUGCUCGAGUGGCGAACGGGUGAGUAACACGUGAGUAACCUGCCCUUGACUUUGGGAUAACUUCAGGAAACUGGGGCUAAUACCGGAUAGGAGCUCCUGCUGCAUGGUGGGGGUUGGAAAGUUUCGGCGGUUGGGGAUGGACUCGCGGCUUAUCAGCUUGUUGGUGGGGUAGUGGCUUACCAAGGCUUUGACGGGUAGCCGGCCUGAGGGGGUGACCGGCCACAUGGGGACGGAGAUGCGGCCAGGACCCCUGCGGGGGGAGGGGGUGGGGAAUAGUGCAUAAUGGGCGGAGGCCUGACCCAGCACCGCCGCGUGGGGGAUGACGGCCUUCGGUUGGUACCCCGUUUCCGCUUGUGAAGAAGGGUGAGGGAGGUAAAGGGGUAAAGAAGCACGGGCUAACUCCGUC